rnacentral:rRNA from 4 species
GAAGGUGUGUCGUGAGGCAUGCUGGAGGUAUCAGAAGUGCGAAUGCUGACAUAAGUAACGAUAAAGCGGGUGAAAAGCCCGCUCGCCGGAAGACCAAGGGUUCCUGUCCAACGUUAAUCGGGGCAGGGUGAGUCGACCCCUAAGGCGAGGCCGAAAGGCGUAGUCGAUGGGAAACGGGUUAAUAUUCCCGUACUUGGUGUUACUGCGAAGGGGGGACGGAGAAGGCUAUGUUGGCCGGGCGACGGUUGUCCCGGUUUAAGCGUGUAGGUGUGUGUUCCAGGUAAAUCCGGUUCACUUUAACACUGAGGCGUGACGACGAGGCACUACGGUGCUGAAGCAACAAAUGCCCUGCUUCCAGGAAAAGCCUCUAAGCAUCAGGUAACAUCAAAUCGUACCCCAAACCGACACAGGUGGUCAGGUAGAGAAUACCAAGGCGCUUGAGAGAACUCGGGUGAAGGAACUAGGCAAAAUGGUGCCGUAACUUCGGGAGAAGGCACGCUGACACGUAGGUGAAGUGAUUUACUCAUGGAGCUGAAGUCAGUCGAAGAUACCAGCUGGCUGCAACUGUUUAUUAAAAACACAGCACUGUGCAAACACGAAAGUGGACGUAUACGGUGUGACGCCUGCCCGGUGCCGGAAGGUUAAUUGAUGGGGUCAGCGCAAGCGAAGCUCCUGAUCGAAGCCCCGGUAAACGGCGGCCGUAACUAUAACGGUCCUAAGGUAGCGAAAUUCCUUGUCGGGUAAGUUCCGACCUGCACGAAUGGCGUAAUGAUGGCCAGGCUGUCUCCACCCGAGACUCAGUGAAAUUGAACUCGCUGUGAAGAUGCAGUGUACCCGCGGCAAGACGGAAAGACCCCGUGAACCUUUACUAUAGCUUGACACUGAACAUUGAGCCUUGAUGUGUAGGAUAGGUGGGAGGCUUUGAAGUGUGGACGCCAGUCUGCAUGGAGCCGACCUUGAAAUACCACCCUUUAAUGUUUGAUGUUCUAACGUGGACCCGUUACCCGGGUUGCGGACAGUGUCUGGUGGGUAGUUUGACUGGGGCGGUCUCCUCCUAAAGAGUAACGGAGGAGCACGAAGGUUGGCUAAUCCUGGUCGGACAUCAGGAGGUUAGUGCAAUGGCAUAAGCCAGCUUGACUGCGAGCGUGACGGCGCGAGCAGGUGCGAAAGCAGGUCAUAGUGAUCCGGUGGUUCUGAAUGGAAGGGCCAUCGCUCAACGGAUAAAAGGUACUCCGGGGAUAACAGGCUGAUACCGCCCAAGAGUUCAUAUCGACGGCGGUGUUUGGCACCUCGAUGUCGGCUCAUCACAUCCUGGGGCUGAAGUAGGUCCCAAGGGUAUGGCUGUUCGCCAUUUAAAGUGGUACGCGAGCUGGGUUUAGAACGUCGUGAGACAGUUCGGUCCCUAUCUGCCGUGGGCGCUGGAGAACUGAGGGGGGCUGCUCCUAGUACGAGAGGACCGGAGUGGACGCAUCACUGGUGUUCGGGUUGUCAUGCCAAUGGCACUGCCCGGUAGCUAAAUGCGGAAGAGAUAAGUGCUGAAAGCAUCUAAGCACGAAACUUGCCCCGA